rnacentral:rRNA from 1 species
CAGGUUGAAGGUUGGGGAACACUAACUGGAGGACCGAACCCACUGUCGUUGAAAAGCCAGGGGAUGACUUGUGGAUAGGGGUGAAAGGCUAAUCAAACUCGGUGAUAGCUGGUUCUCCCCGAAAGCUAUUUAGGUAGCGCCUCGGACGAACACCAUUGGGGGUAGAGCACUGUUUCGGCUAGGGGGUCAUCCCGACUUACCAAACCGAUGCAAACUCCGAAUACCAAUGAGUACUAUCCGGGAGACAGACUGCGGGUGCUAACGUCCGUAGUCAAGAGGAAAACAAUCCAGACCGCCAGCUAAGGCCCCAAAAUCAUAGUUAAGUGGGAAACGAUGUGGGAAGGCUUAGACAGCUAGGAGGUUGGCUUAGAAGCAGCCAUCCUUUAAAGAAAGCGUAACAGCUCACUGGUCUAAAUAAGGGUUCCUGCGGCGAAGAUGUAACGGGGCUAAAGUAAUGCACCGAAGCUUAGGGUUCAGAAUUUAUUCUGAGCGGUAGCGGAGCGUUCCGUAAGCGGAUGAAGCCGAAGGGUAACCGACGGUGGACGUAUCGGAAGUGCGAAUGCUGACAUGAGUAGCGACAAACAGUGUGAGAUGCACUGUCGCCGAAAGCCCAAGGGUUCCUGCUUAAAGCUAAUCUGAGCAGGGUGAGUCGGCCCCUAAGACGAGCCCGAAGGGGGUAGUCGAUGGGAACACGGUUAAUAUUCCGUGACCUGGUGGAAUGUGACGGAUCUCGUGUGUUGUCUGAUCUUAUUGGAUUGAUCAGGCUUCGAAGAGGUUCCAGGAAAUAGCUCCACCAUAUAGACCGUACCCUAAACCGACACAGGUGGACUGGUAGAGAAUACCAAGGCGCUUGAGAGAACGAUGCUGAAGGAACUCGGCAAAUUACCUCCGUAACUUCGG